GUGGAUUAGAUACCCUGGUAGUCCACGCCCUAAACGAUGCGAACUAGGUGUUGGGGAAGGAGACUUUCUUAGUACCGCAGCUAACGCGUGAAGUUCGCCGCCUGGGGAGUACGGUCGCAAGAUUAAAACUCAAAGGAAUUGACGGGGACCCGCACAAGCGGUGGAUGAUGUGGAUUAAUUCGAUGCAACGCGAAAAACCUUACCUACCCUUGACAUGCCUGGAAUCCUGCAGAGAUGUGGGAGUGCUCGAAAGAGAGCCGGGACACAGGUGCUGCAUGGCUGUCGACAGCU
rnacentral:rRNA from 1 species